rnacentral:sRNA from 1 species
AGAAUGUUACAUCCUACUGAAAGUUCAAGGCCUUGUUAAAAUGGUUCUAUAGUGUAAAGGAUCCUUGGUAUCAAACUACGCAGUAUUAUGUGUACAUUGUUGAUCCAUUAUCAAAACUGCGCUGCAAUUGCAAAUUCAGCAGUGGAUUAGUCAACGGAAGAAUUGAUCAAUAUAAAUCCUCAAGGUGACAAGAAUUCCAAAAAGAGAAUGUUCGUCAGAGGCGAAACAAUGCUUUGGCGAUAAGAGGGUACCAUCUGCAUUGAUACCAAUGCAUCGACCAUGUUCCACAGUUGAUUGAAGAGAUACCAUUAGUUCCCCACUCAACACCAACUGAAGCUUGGCUUCAACUGGCACUUGGGCUCCAGUCUCCUGUAACCAAAAGUAGAAUAAAAGUUUGUACUUUUAUGUGAACAAAAUCAAUAGAUCUAACCAAAAUUUUCAAUUCAAACCUUUGAAAAAGUUGACAAAAUCAGAUCAAAAGGACCACUUACCACAUGGAUGACUUUAGUUUCUCCAUCAACAAUCCCUAGAAAAUUAUUGUAGUUGUAAAGAUGGACUUGGUUGUUUCCGUCGUUGAAUACAGUCCAUAUCGCUGAAAACAACAACAAAAAGAAUAUUCAAAGCUGAAAUAGAUGAGCUGUAUCAUGGUUGUGAAAAAUCUUAAUGAAGUUUUACUUACCAUUCCAGGCCUGUGGCCCGAUGUCCCCUUUACCCUCCACUAUCAGUUCACCAGACGGAUCCUGCACAAUGUGGAGCGAAUGUCCACUGGCCUUGGAAAUGAGCUGGAUUUGAGCUCCAGUUACGAAAUUGGCCUUGACAAAAAAGACAUUACUUAGUUUCAAAGGAAAAAACAAAAUUUCAAAUGAGUGUAUUUUAGCUGAUUAAACAUUGAGAAAAAUUACCAGGGCUGGACCAAAGUUGUGUUUGUUCCAUUCACUCUCGAGAAAAUUUCCGGCUGCUUCUAAUUUUUCCUGAAUAACAUCGCCGACUUUCUCUAAUUUGUCUUCAAUCUUUUUUAUUAUUCCAGGCUGCAUAGAAUUGUACAAAAUAUUUAUAAUGACAGUGAAUUGUGUCGUUAAUUUGAAUAAUUUUUAAGGAACUUCAGGUAUAUCUGUAUUUAUAAAAUCCAAACGUUAUGUAUCAAAUAACGUUACUUUUUUGUUUACCUUUUGAGCUGGGUAAUCAGUUUUCUUUUUGGCUUGAGAAUUGUCUGCCAUAUUUGAAUAUCUAAAAAUGCAAUGACAUGUAAUACAAAAUUUACCCAAUGCCUUUUCAAUAACAAUACCAAAAUGUUUUUAAUCACAUUCUUCACGUGAUUGACCUAUAUAUCGAUGAUAUACGAGAACUUUUGAGAAGCUUCUCGAAGGGAAACGCAUGUCCGAUAACUCGUCGUUGUCUUAGAUAUUUUGGCUUUUUUAAAAAUCAUCAUAAAAAUAAGAAAAUGAAAUUUAAACAUU